UACGUAGGGCGCAAGCGUUGUCCGGAAUUAUUGGGCGUAAAGAGCUCGUAGGCGGUUUGUCGCGUCUGCUGUGAAAACCUGAGGCUCAACCUCGGGCUUGCAGUGGGUACGGGCAGACUAGAGUGCGGUAGGGGUGACUGGAAUUCCUGGUGUAGCGGUGGAAUGCGCAGAUAUCAGGAGGGAACACCGGUAGUGGAAGGCGGUGCUGGGCCGCACUGACGCUGAGGAGCGAAAGCUGGGGAGCAAACAGGAUUAGAACCUCGUAGUCA
rnacentral:rRNA from 1 species